GCAGCUGGGUGGAGCCUAAAGCCGAGCCCUCUCCUGUGACCUCGGCUGAAAAGAAGAAGCCAGUGUUUGAGAAAAGCUUCGUGAGACUUCAGAUGGAUUUUAAAAUUGAACACACUUGGGAUGGUUUUCCAGUGAAGCAUGAGCCCGUAUUUAUCAGGCUGAAUCCAGGUGACAGAGGAGUGAUGAUGGACAUUAGUGCUCCAUUUUUCAGGGAUCCUCCAGCCCCACUUGGAGAACCAGGAAAACCUUUCAAUGAACUGUGGGAUUAUGAAGGUAAGUGGAAGUACUGUAUUUUAUUGCAAACAUAAAUCUUCUUAUAAUAACCUCUCACAGAACUAUUAUUUUAUCUUGCUGUUGGGAAGUAAGUGCUUCUGAGCAAUUGACAUGUACAGUUUCUGAUAUUUCCUACCAAUCUCUCAUUCUGACUUUUUCUCCAUUACCUGUGUGACUUUAACUAUAUAACAAAAACAGUUAAAAAAUGGCAAUUACAAAUCCAGAUUUUUUUUUUUUUUUUUUUUU
rnacentral:lncRNA from 1 species